AAGGCACUGGAUGGGACUGGGGGAGCCCUUCCUCAUGGAAUGGAGGGGAGAGGGAAGGUAGGCAGGCAGGUAGGAAAAUAUACUGCCACGCAGCAUAAGAGAGUGUCAGUUGAUGGUGGGUCCCCAAGUCAAAAUUGCUGGCCAGAGGAUUCCCAUGUCCCCAGGAUCAGACUGCCUUAGCAUCCCUUUCCUGUUCAGCCGAUGGCUAGGAGCAGCCCAUGGGAAGUGUGGCUUGAGAGUGUGCAUAUGGGUGGACUUCAGAGAGUAACAACCUAGGCCCUUACACAAUUGUGCUUCAGCAUUAGGUGGCCUGCAAGGUGAUUCUUAUGGCUACCACAACUAUGAGGCAAGUAAUCCAGAUGCUGAGAGACAAUAACCUAGGAAAGUGAGCAUUCAGAUGAAUUAGCAAUGGAUGGAUGGCCUCUCGGGGAAAUGGCAUUUAACGUAAGACUAGAAGGAUGAGAAAAAUCCAGCUAUAUGUAAAGCCUGGAAAAAGUAUUGUAAGUAGAGAGGGAAGAGCAAGUGCAAAGGCCCUGUGGCGGUAUCUAAGGGUCCCUCAGAAGGCCAGUGAAUGUAACCAGAACAAAGAAGAGUGGCAGAAGUUAUAGACAAGAUGAUAAUCCAGGAUUUUGUACAUCAUUUCAAGGAGUUUAUACUUUAUUCUAACUGCAGAGGAAAGACAGUGGCGAAUUUAAGUUGGACAGUGAUACGAUUUGACGUAUUUGAAGAAGACCGCUCUAGCUGCUGCACUGGGCACGGCUUAUAGUUUUUCAAGAGUGGAAAUUAAUUAGAUGGUGACAGAUGAUGAUUUACACAGUCAAGGCGCAUUGACCUAAUCUGGGGUUGCCAGGGGCUGCGGGUGUGGAACAAAAAGGCUUCAUGGGGGAGAGGUCAUCUGAGCUGUGUCUUAAAGGGGUGGCUUUUUAAAGCAAUUGCAGAAAGGAGGUGACAUUUAAGGGGAACUUGACUGGCUCUCCGAAGGGAGGAGCAACCUUAUAGCACUUUUCAAAAUCACUUCACUAAAACCCAGAGUCAAAGCAGUCUUUAAUUUAGUGCCUUUUAUAGGACAGAAUACAGUUUAGGAGUAACCAAGGACAUUCACAGGUGAAAAGUACUUAAAUCAGAGAGACAGCGUAGUUAGGGAAAGGAGACCAACCAUUUUUUUCUUUAUGGCAGAGAACAUUAACUGAAUACCUCAGAGGCUGAAGCAAAGAAACAAAGAGAACACUAGUCGUCUUUGUCAACCUGGCUCUGAAUGCAAACACCGUUUUGAACUUGGAGGACUCAUGGGAAGUUGGUUUGAUGGUUGGAGGCUUGUUUGUAGAACUCCUUCUUUGCUGCUUCUUUCUAUACUUUGUUUUCUUUUUGUUUCUGGUUUUUAGUAAAGCCUAUACCCGCAAUCACAACAGUCUCACCAAGGACUAAAUCAGAGACCAGAGUCCGAAUGCCCAGUCACGUUGCUCCCUCUACCACUCGGUGGAUUUCUUCUAGAUUCUAUAUUCUGAUGUCAGCCAUCUCCCGCCCUUCUUUUCUUUCCUCACGGGCCCUGCCUUAGGUUUAUACUUUUGCAAUAGAUCCUUAAAUGUUCUCCCUGCCUCCAGAUUCUUACAUUGCACACGGGUCAAAUGUCAAAACGGGGCUUCUUGGAUAAAAGCAGCCCACGGUGCCUUUCCUUUUUCUUUUCUGUCCAAAACACUUUUUAGAAUAAGAUGUCUGGAUAGAAAAAUUAGAUGUGUUUACAUAAAAAUACCCAUUCCUGGUUUCUCUUGGAAACUCAGUUGAUCUGGACCACACUAGUUCAGCCAGAGCGACGGGUGGACGAAACCCAAUAGGGGUCCUCUCUUCUCGCUCAGGCGUCAGACGUCUCUCCAGUUUGUCAUCACCUCUCUUCCUCGCUGUGGUUCUAUACCUUUCCUUUUUUUACCUCCCUGAAUCUGGGGUGCAUUUGAAUUCCAAACAGAAAUCUGGUCAUGUGACACUCUUAUUUAAAAAACCUGCACCUGUUGGUCUGGCAGAUGAAGUUCAAACUCUUCACCGUAGCACAGAAAGGACUUCUUCACCUGGUCUCAUGCUCUCUGUGGAUGUCCUUUGUGACUCAUGCCCUUCUCAGAAGUCAUGCUGAAUGGCUGCACCGUGUUGUGUGUCUGUGUCUUCUUCUGUCUACUGUGAUUUCUUCCUUUCAGGUGGGAUGCCAUUUCUUUUCUUCUGCAGCUGGUGUACGUUUAUUCUUUAGCCUCUGUCCAAAUAUAAAUCCUCUUCUAACUUCUGCUUUCUCGUCACCUGCUUCUCCACUUCCUCAGCAUCCCGGGCUCGCCUCUGUUAGGACCCUUUGCCGGUAGUGACUGGUGAAUUCUCUCUCCUUGUCCAGACUGCACACCCUUCGGGAUUCUGAAUCAUCUUCGCCUUUGGAGGCCUAGUGUGGGAUAGCUUAUAAAGUUGAUUCACUGACUGCUGGUUUAAAAUGGUGUCUGUGAACAGCCUCUGGUACAGCUUUCUCCGUCACGUGCAGUAAAAUACCUAAGAAGGCUUAGAAGAAGAUAUAAACUCAAAAUACAGCCAUAAACUUGGACUGACAAUCAACUAAAGGCUGGAUCAGGGAGGUAGCAGAACCUGUCGGAAGGUUUGAUGGGAUAACGUGGCAGCUCAGGAGGAAGCAGAUCACCCUGAGAUCUGGGGAGUACUUCCAUUAAUAACUGAGGAAACAAAAAGCUAGAGGGGUGACAAGGUCAGGGUGAUCUUGAUGGGAAAUGAAGAGGCCAACCCUUGCACUGAAGGGCCUCUGACACCACCUCGUAUUCCACUCCUCCCUAUGAGUACAGAGGCAUCUUGGUGCCUUUCUGAUGGAAAUUGUCAAGUAACUGGAUUCGUAGGAUCAGCUGUAGUUUCUGGAUAGAGAAAUUUGACGCAGCUGGGUGGGAUAUCAGGCUCUGUGCCCCAUGGGCCUGAGGUCUAUUUACUGUGACUGAUGCCAACUCUUACAAAGAGGAGGCUGAGGAAGUUUUCAACCUCGUGGAUCCCAGUAACUAGCCUCAGCCGUGUUAGUCACUCUGCUAGUGGCUGCCAGAUCACGCACAGAUGCCACCUGCUGGGAAGAUCCCACUCCAAGACUGAGACCUGCUUCAGAACCUAGCGUGAGAAUUGUCAAUACCUACAACUUGGAAAUGCUGGGACAGGCAGAGCUGUAAUUAAAGUAGGUAGAGCGAGAAGAGUUCUUGUUUUACUCAGGAGGAAAUUGAGACUUACAAAGGCUUUGGAGACUUAACGUGAGAGGCAAAGGCAAGAAGAUCUGAUUUCUCUCUGCAUUUUGAUAACUAUCAUCUUCUCUUUUCUCUUUUCUUUUCUUUUCUUUUCUUUUCUUUUCUUUUCUUUUCUUUUCUUUUCUUUUCUUUUCUUUCUCUUCUUCCU